rnacentral:lncRNA from 1 species
AGAAGGCUAGGAGCCAAUUUUUUUUUACUGAAACGAACUGAAAAUAGAAAAAUUUUAAGUUUCAAGAUGUUUAGGAGUCGAUCCUAGGAGAAGAGGAGUUGACUCUAGCAUGUUGGAACAGGACUGGCAUACUAGUGAGUCGACUCCUAUAAAGGACGAAUCUCUCUUAGAGAGAGCAGAAGAUUGUAUUUUCAUGAUCUCCGCUCG